rnacentral:miRNA from 1 species
GUGGGUGGCGAAACUCGGAAAU